AUUGAACGCUGGCGGCAUGCCUUACACAUGCAAGUCGAACGGUAACGCGGGGGCAACCCUGGCGACGAGUGGCGAACGGGUGAGUAAUACAUCGGAACGUGUCCUUACAGUGGGGGAGUAACCUGGCGAAAGCCAAGCUAAUACCGCAUACGCUGGGGACGAGGAAAGCAGGGGACGUCGGAAACGGGCCUUGCGCUGCAGGAGCGGCCGAUGUCCGAUUAGCUAGUUGGUGGGGUAAAAGGCUCACCAAGGCGACGAUCGGUAGCUGGUCUGAGAGGAUGAUCAGCCACACUGGGACUGAGACACGGCCCAGACUCCUACGGGAGGCAGCAGUGGGGAAUUUUGGGCAAUGGGCGAAAGCCUGACCCAGCAACGCCGCGUG
rnacentral:rRNA from 1 species